GACGAGGUGGCCGAGGGGUGAAGGCGAUGGACUGCUAAUCCAUUGGGCUCUGCACGCAUGGGUUCAAAUCCCAUCCUCGUCG
rfam:Tinamus guttatus contig33611, whole genome shotgun sequence.